UAGGGAAUCUUCCGCAAUGGGCGAAAGCCUGACGGAGCAACGCCGCGUGAGUGAUGAAGGUCUUCGGAUCGUAAAACUCUGUUAUUAGGGAAGAACAAAUGUGUAAGUAACUAUGCUCGUCUUGACGGUACCUAAUCAGAAAGCCACGGCUAACUACGUGCCAGCAGCCGCGGUAAUACGUAGGUGGCAAGCGUUAUCCGGAAUUAUUGGGCGUAAAGCGCGCGUAGGCGGUUUUUUAAGUCUGAUGUGAAAGCCCACGGCUCAACCGUGGAGGGUCAUUGGAAACUGGAAAACUUGAGUGCAGAAGAGGAAAGUGGAAUUCCAUGUGUAGCGGUGAAAUGCGCAGAGAUAUGGAGGAACACCAGUGGCGAAGGCGACUUUCUGGUCUGUAACUGACGCUGAUGUGCGAAAGCGUGGGGAUCAAACAGG
rnacentral:rRNA from 1 species